UUUAAGUGCAGCCAUGAGUUUUCGUGUCUAAGUUAGAUUGUCCAUUUUAUUUGAAUUUUUUUGUGGUUAGUAUUUUAUAAUUAGAUGAUAAAACAUGAAUAGUACUUUUAUGCGUGAUUACGUUUUUUAUUAUUUUUAAUUUUUUUUAAAUAAGACGGACUAUCAAAGUUAAACAUUGAAACUCAUGGCUGCACUUAAA
rfam:Oryza meridionalis cultivar OR44 (W2112) chromosome 10, whole genome shotgun sequence.